rnacentral:rRNA from 1 species
AUCUGUGUCCAUACCACCCUGAAUGCACCUGAUAUUGGAAGCUAAACAGGGUCCUGCCUGGACAGUCUUGGAAGGGACAUAGAAG